rnacentral:tRNA from 8 species
GCCACCCUAGCUCAACUGGUAGAGCACCCGAUUUGUAAUCGGAAGGUUGUCGGUUCGAUUCCGAUGGGUGGCUCCA